GGUUAUUGACGCGCAAUUAUGACAAAUUCACACUGAGCUGACGUGGUACAGUCCAAACAAGUGUCGCUUUGUAACUUCGGUUUCACUUUCUCAUCAUUAUUGUAGCGUUUUGAAGCCCACAAAGUGGACUUUCUCGCUAGGAUUAGCAUUAGCCGAACAAACGGGAAGAAGUUUGGAUCUCAGCUGGAAGUUUCUGUUUGGUGGUCUUCAUCAUGCGGCGCCGAGAGAGGAGCUCCCAGCUGGGACUGCUUCUCCUGGCCUCCCAGCUGUACCAUGUGGGCUUCAACAACAUCCCCCCUGUCACCUUGGGUGUCCUGGGCCUUAACGUGUACCUGUUCCUGUUCCCUGCAGCACCACUGAUGCAGGCUUGUGUGAGCGUCAAGCAGGCGUACCUGUUGAAAGACUGGCGCCGCUUGCUGUUGUCGCCAGUGCACCACGCGGACGACAUGCACCUGUACUUCAACAUGGUGUCCUUCCUCAUGAAAGGCAUCAGAUUGGAGCGGCGGCUGGGCAGUGUCUGGUUCUCCUACGUGCUGUCUGUCUUCUCUCUGCUCAUAGGAGUAGUCUACGUAGGGCUGGAGGCAGCGCUCACUGAGCUGACCCAGGACCAGUCGUACAGCAAUGCAUGUGCAGUUGGCUUCUCAGGGGUGAUUUUUGCUUUGAAGGUGCUCAGUAACCAUUACUACCCAGGGGGUGUGACCUAUGUGAUGGGUUUCCCUGUAUCCAAUCGCUAUGCUAGCUGGGUGGAGCUUGUGCUGAUCCAUAUAACAGCACCAGGGACCUCCCUGAUUGGUCACCUGUCAGGUAUUUUGGUGGGCCUGCUCUACACUUCUGGACCGCUGAAGAAGGUGAUGAAGAUGUGUGCAGGUGACCCCGUGCACUGCAUCACUUGGUGUGCUGUUGAGACGACCCUGCAUCAACAUACGUGUGUGUGUGUGCGUAGGCUACAGUGGUACCAAUGGAGGCUACUCAAGUAGAAGCCAUGACUACACAGCCCGUGACUCAUCUUACACAGGUGGACUGACGGAAGAGGAGCAGCUGGCGGCGGCCAUCAGGAACAGCCUCUAUGACAGAGGACCCCGCAGCCACAGAGAAGGCCCUCCCCCUCCGUAUGGUUUCCGCCUAUCAGAGGAGGAGCUGCGCUGGAGGAGGCUGAGGAGGUUGGACAGCUGAACCUGAAAGGUGUUCCAGAUGGAGACCACAGAGCUCACGCCCAGGAAUGCUGGUACACUUCCAAAAGGAGAAGUCGGCCCGCCGCCUGGCACUCUUGGCACGAGGAACUCAUUGUGUUUGAACGUCAGCCAUGUUGAUCAUGGCUGUUUUGAUCUGCUUGGACUCUUUAUGUAAAAUGUUACGAGCAUGAUAUUUUUAUUGCGAAGGCGGGACUCAACUGCUUGUUGGACAUGUUUGACAACGCACAAUUAAAAGGACUAUAGCACCUGGAUCACGUCAAAUCAAGUUUAUUUAUAGAGCCCUUAAUCACAAAAGAGCCUCAACGGGCUUAACAAGCAGGCAACAGUAGAUGAUAGACAAUAGACAACAUCCCCUGAUCUGAACCCCAUCAGGGCAAGGAAAAACUCAAAAUCCAUUGCGGUAAAAGAAACCUUGAGAAAGGAUCGCAGAUGGGCGAAAUCCCCAUUCUAGGAUGACCAGGCUGCAAUGGAUGUCGAGAGGCUAACAUCGUUUGUUUUGGUCAAAUAGUUUGGAAAAUAAAUUACCCACAAAACUCCAGUGUGACUUAUGUAUGUUGUUUUCUACUUUAUUAUGGAUUUUCGGCCUUGUGCGACUUAUACUCAAUUUAUAUAUAUUACAAUAUAUUUACAAUUUAUAGUCCAGAAAAUACGG